rnacentral:rRNA from 1 species
AGUGAACGCUGGCGGUAGGCCUAACACAUGCAAGUCGAACGGCAGCACAGUAAGAGCUUGCUCUUACGGGUGGCGAGUGGCGUACGGGUGAGGAAUACAUCGGAAUCUACUUUUUCGUGGGGGAUAACGUAGGGAAACUUACGCUAAUACCGCAUACGACCUACGUGUGAAAGCAGGGGAUCUUCGGACCUUGCGCGAUUGAAUGAGCCGAUGUCGGAUUAGCUAGUUGGCGGGUUAAAGGCCCACCAAGGCGAAAAUCCGUAGCUGGUCUGAGAGGAUGAUCAGCAACACUGGAACUGAGACACGGUCCAGACUCCUACGGGAGGCAGUAGUGGGGAAUAUUGGACAAUGGGCGCAAGCCUGAUCCAGCCAUACCGCGUGGGUGAAGAAGGCCUUCGAGUUGUAAAGCCCUUCUGUUGGGAAAGAAAAGCAGCAGGUUAAUACCCCGCUGUUCUGACGGUACCCAAAGAAUAAGCACCGGCUAACUUCGUG